rnacentral:misc_RNA from 1 species
GAUGAAGAACGUAGCGAAAUGCGAUAAGUAAUGCGAAUUGCAGAAUUCAGUGAGUCAUCGAAUCUUUGAACGCACAUUGCGCCCUGUGGUAUUCCGCAGGGCAUGCCUGUUCGAGCGUCAUUUGUACCUUCAAGCCUUGCUUGGUGUUGGGUGUUUGUCUCGCCUCUGCGCGCAGACUCGCCUCAAAACAAUUGGCAGCCGGCGUAUUGAUUUCGGAGCGCAGUACAUCUCGCGCUUUGCACUCAGAACGACGACGUCCAAAAGUACAUUUUUACACUCUUGACCUCGGAUCAGGUAGGGAUACCCGCUGAACUUAAGCAUAUCAAUAAGCGGAGGA